rfam:Dipodomys ordii contig_66273, whole genome shotgun sequence.
GGUGGCUCAGUAGUAGAGUGCUUGCCUUACAUGCAUGGGGCCAUGGGUUCAAUUCCUUAUCACCA